rnacentral:rRNA from 1 species
UCUUUUUAAUAGAAGUAAGUGGAAAUAAUAAAAUAAAAAGUAUGGCGGUCUCUUAUCUUGUCAGAGGGACAUGUAUUUUAAAAACGAAAUUACACGAUAAUCUAUCCUAAUUUUGAAAUAAUGUUCAUUUUGUACACCGCUGUCUGAAAGAAAUUAUAUGAGUAUUUUCUUUUUUCUUUUAAAGAAAUAAGGCAAGUUAAGGUGCAGAUAAUGGUUAGGGUAAUAUGUGUUCCAGUGAGAAUUUAUAGAUUUAGUUUUUAAAAGGCUAAAUAAAAAGAAUUUGAUAGUAAGAUUAAUGUAUGAAUUUAAUCUGAAAAUGAGCCAUGAGAGGUGU